GCCGCAGCAGCAGGACCGGCUCAGCGGCGGCCCCUCGAAGCCCUGCCCCAGGCGCGGGACUCGCACCAUGGCUCCGUGCGGGAGCGGCUGGCUGGCCAACGAGGGGAGCAAGCACCUCUCUCUGCUUUUCUGGCUCUCCCUGAAUGUGUGGCUCUUCUGGAAAACCUUCCUGCUGUAUUACCAUGGGCCGCAGUACUACUACUUACAUCAGAUGCUAGGUAUGAUACAAUGGCUUGAGAUCUCAUUUGCUGCUGCUUUAUCAUGAUAAAGACUUUGCUAUUUGAGGCCAAGUUUCUCCCUGCAAAUUUCUGGUGCAACUCCACUGAAGUCUGUUUUUCCCACUACAGUCUGGAGGGAAUUAGGCAUCUUGAAACUUUGUUUGCUUUAUCGUACUAUUUUGUAUUUAAUUGCCUCGUAACCAAAGGAUGCCAGAUGUGUUUAUUAGUCUGCUUCUUCCAGUAGGUGUUUCGUGUAGCAAAAAUUGUUACUAGACGCUUUUAUUUUUUCCUUUGUUAUUUAAGCUCCUCUUCCUGUAUUGGGAUUUCACAAUAUUGUUUAAGGGUUUAACUCAUGUGUCCAAUUAUCAACAUAGUCCGUGUCUGAUUUGGAGGCAAUUUGCUGCCUAUUAUAUUGUUCUG